CGCACGUGGAGGAAUUGGGAUCGGCGGAGGGGUGGAGUCGGGGGGCCAGGGGCCGCCGAGGGGGGAGCAGGAGUGGGAGAGGGAGAGAAAGAGAGAGGGGGGCGGUAACAGCUGGGGGUGCCAACCAAGCGGCGGAAGGAGAAGAAGCGGUAGCUGCACCUGCAGCCGCACGCGCGCGCCCGCCGUCUCGAACGACCGGCCGACGCACCGCGCGGGCACGACAUGACGGUCUUCUCGAACUAGGCGGCCGUGGCCGGUCCGAGAGCUGACUGCCCGAGCGGCCCAGCGGCGGGGAGUGCGGCGCGGCCGAUCCCCGCUCUUCCGCCUCCGCCCUCGCCGACGAAGCCCGGGGCUAGACCCCUCCCAUACUCCGUCCCCUCCUGCGGCAGGGAAAGCAAGGGAGAGACUAAGCGGGAGAAGGGAGAAAGGAGAAAGGUAGGGAGUGAAGCGGGAGUCCAGGCUCCGUUGCUCAAACGAAGGAGACGAGGCAAGUACAGUAACUCGAAAAAGGAACCGGUAUCGUGGUGUAAACGCCGUCGUGUGGUCUCAGUUAAACCAACUGAUCGUUGUCUCGUUUCCACUC
rnacentral:rRNA from 1 species